GACGAACGCUGGCGGCGCGCCUAACACAUGCAAGUCGAACGAGCAAAGAGGAGCUUGCUUCUCUGAGCGAGUGGCGAACGGGUGAGUAACGCGUGAGGAACCUGCCUCAAAGAGGGGGACAACAGUUGGAAACGACUGCUAAUACCGCAUAAGCCCACGGGUCGGCAUCGACCAGAGGGAAAAGGAGCAAUCCGCUUUGAGAUGGCCUCGCGUCCGAUUAGCUAGUUGGUGAGGUAAUGGCCCACCAAGGCGACGAUCGGUAGCCGGACUGAGAGGUUGAACGGCCACAUUGGGACUGAGACACGGCCCAGACUCCUACGGGAGGCAGCAGUGGGGAAUAUUGACACAAUGGGGGAAACCCUGAUGCAGCGACGCCGCGUGGAGGAAGAAGGUCUUCGGAUUGUAAACUCCUGUUGUUNAGGAAGAUAAUCGACGGUACUCAACAAGGAAGUGACGGCUAAACUACGUGACCAGCAGCCGC
rnacentral:rRNA from 1 species